GAGAGUAGGAGCGAAAGACUAAUCAAACCCCGUGAUAGCUGGUUCUCUCCGAAAUCGCUUGAGGGCGAGCGUCGGGACAGUACUCUCUGGAGGUAGAGCACUGAAUGGCUUAGGGGCCCCACCAGGCCACCAAAACCAAUCAAACUCCGAAUACCAGAGAAUCCAGUAACCCGGCAGUCAGGCGGCGGGCGAUAAGGUUCGUCGCCGAGAGGGCAACAGCCCAGACCGCCGGCUAAGGUGCCUAAAUGCCGUUAAGUGGAAAGGAUGUGACGUUGCUCAGACAAUGAGGAUGUUGGCUUAGAGGCAGCCACCAUUUAAACAGUGCGUAAUAGCUGACUCAUCGAGCGAUGUCGCGCCGAAAAUGAUUGGCGAUCAAACGGCAUACCGAAGCCGCGGAGGGCCGCCCGGAUUCGUCCGGGGGCCGUGGUAGGAGAGCGUGGCCAGGGCGGUGAAGCUCUAGGGAAACCGACAGUGGAGCGCUGGCCAGUGAGAAUGCAGACACGAGUAGCGAUAAAGCGGGUGAGAAUCCCGCUCGCCGUAAACCCAAGGGUUCCUGGGCCAGGUUCGUCCUCCCAGGGUUAGCCGGGAGCUAAGAUGAGGCCGGAAGGCGUAAUCGAUGCCCAGCAGGUUAAAUAUUCCUGCGCCGGCUGGGGUUAAGACCGCGAAGGUGACGCGUUGGGAGACGUGGAUUAGGCAAUCGAAUGCUGAGCUUAGGCCUUUGGCCGAAGCGCGUCCGCGGGUCCCGGCGCCGAGAAAAGCCGGCGGUUGUUCCCCCAGUCGCCCGUACCGCAAACCGACACAGGUGGGUGAGUGUAAGCGCACUCAGGCGCGCGAGAGAAACCUCUCUAAGGAACUCGGCACAUUAGCCCCGUAACUUCGGGAAAAGGGGUGCUCCCGGCUCCGGCAGCGAUGUUGGAGUUUGGGAGCCACAGUAAAUUGCGCUUAACGACUGUUUAACAAAAACACAGCACUCUGCCAAGUCGUCAAGACGACGUAUAGGGUGUGACACGUGACCAAUGCGGAAAGAUGAAAACGUUCUGUUAGCCGCAAGGCGAAGCUCGGCGUCCAAGUCCCCGUGAAUGUCGGCCGUAACUAUAACGGUCCUAAGGUAGCGAAAUUCCUUGUCGGGUAAGUUCCGACCUGCACGAAUCGUGUAACGAUUGAGCGACUGUCUCGGAGAGGAUCUCGGCGAAACUGUAACGGCGGUGAAGAUGCCGCCUGCCCGCAGUAGGACGGAAAGACCCUAUGCACCUUUACUGUAAGCUGGUAUUGGGUUCUGGUUAUCGAUGCGUAGCGUAGGUGGGAGACUUGGAAGCCCGGGCUUCGGUCCGGGCGGAGUCGCAAUGUGAAACACCACUCUUCGCUAAUUAGGAUUCUAACCCCGAUCCUGUGAAGCCAGGCGGGGGACAUUGCUAGCGGGUCAGUUUGACUGGGGCGGUUUCCUCCCAAAGAGUAACGGAGGAGCGCGAAGCUCGGCUCAGCACGGUUGGCAAUCGUGCGCUUGAGGGUAUGGCUAGAAGCCGGGUUAACUGCGAGACACACAGGUCGAGCAGGUGCGAAAGCAGGCCCAAAUGAUCCGAUGGUUUAAAGUGGAAUUGCCAUCGCUCAACGGACAAAAGGUACGCUAGGGAUAACAGGCUGAUCGCAUCCAAGAGUUCAUAUCGACGAUGCGGUUUGGCACCUCGAUGUCGGCUCAUCGCAUCCUGGGGCUGGAGAAGGUCCCA
rnacentral:rRNA from 1 species